UCUGUUUGUAAUUAUUAUUGAAAGUCUGGUCUGCCCACUGAUGAUUUAAAGGGCCGCGGUAAUUUGACUGUGCAAAGGUAGCAUAAUCAUUAGCUUUUUAAUUGAAAGCUGGAAUGAACGACUAGAUGAGAAAUAAACUGUCUUUCUUUAUUUUAUAGAAAUUAACUUUUAAGUGAAAAGGCUUAAAUUUUAUGAAGGGACGAUAAGACCCUAUAAAACUUAUAUAUGUUAUUUUAGUAAAUUUUAGAGUUAUAGUUUUAAUUAUUUAAUUAAUAUUAAUAUUUUGUUGGGGAGACAAGGAUAUAAAAUUUUCGUAACUGUCUAUUUAAAUUUUAUAUUUAUCUAUAUUUAGUGAUCCUUUAUUAGGGAUUAUAAGACAAAGUUACUUUAGGGAUAACAGCGUAAUUUUCUUUGAGAGAUCUUAUCGACAAGAAUAGUUGCGACCUCGAUGUUGAAUUAAGGUUUCGGGAAAGUGCAGUUUCUUUUCUAGUAGGUCUGUUCGACCUUUAAAAUC
rnacentral:rRNA from 1 species